GACGAACCGUGCGAACGUUGUUCGGAAUCACUGGGCUUAAAGGGCGCGUAGGCGGUCUGCCAAGUCCGGGGUGAAAUCCUCCAGCUUAACUGGAGAAGUGCCCUGGAUACUGGCGGACUCGAGUGAGGCAGGGGUUGUGGGAACUUCCGGUGGAGCGGUGAAAUGCGUUGAUAUCGGAAGGAACGCCGGUGGCGAAAGCGCACAACUGGUCCUCUUCUGACGCUGAGGCGCGAAAGCCAGGGGAGCAAACGGG
rnacentral:rRNA from 1 species